rnacentral:lncRNA from 1 species
AAAAUGUAAACUGCUUAUAUUUAAAAAUUGGGUUACAAUUUACAUGUGUAUGUUCAACUCCAAGUCCAGUGUUUAUGUCCCUCAUACAUGUUUGUAUCGCGUUUUUAGUCGAGCCUUGGGACUUGACUCCUAUUUUGCUCACUGAGGAUUCGGGUAAGCCGUUUGUAUUGGAUAGCCAUACUAAUACCGAUGCUCUUUCAGUAUGGGAUGAUGAUCCUAACUCCUAAGUAUCAAGAGGAUCUUGAUACCCCUUCUGGUACCGAAGCCAUCACCUCUAGGUCCCCUCCUUUUGUAUGUUACGUUGUCCUCCCUAGCCCUGUUCCCAUGGUUUCUAUCUGCAUCCCAUACUCAAAUUGGUACUCACCAGUGAAUAAAAUAAGCAUAUGGAACUGCUUGCCAUUCCCUCCUGUCCACUACCUCCACCCUGACCAUUGAAUUCAUCAUCUCUCAAAGAGUCUUUGUCAUUAUUGCAUGCAUCAUGAGAUGACCUGGGCAAUCCUUCAUCGAUAUAUCUAUCUUCAUUCCUUUAUUUUUCUUUGC